GCCCUUAGCCAAAUUGGGGAGGAGGGAAUGAGCCUUGGUGGAAGGAACCUCUCUGUUGAUAUUUAAAGAAGUGAGGGCUGUGGGUAUUCAUAGAAAUGCCAAUUUCACUUUGAAACCAUAGUCCAAGUCUCUAGGUUGGUAGAAGAGAAAGGAAGGAAGUGGUCCCAGUGGUUCUAGAUCUGGUUGGGAAACUUCUGCCUCAUGACUCUGUCCUUUGAGUCCUUUGGACAGCAGCACAAAACAUAACAAUUUUUAUUUUUAGACAGACCCAUUCUUUUUGACCCCACAGGAGCUGUGGUUGGGUCGGCUGUAGCCCCGGGAUGUGGUUUAAGUGGAUUACUGCCUAGCUGAGCCAAAAUGUUUGCUUGUACCUGUUGGACCACUACAGCAAACCGCUGCUUACAGUGCAUUGUGUAUUUCCGUAGUACUGUUUUGCAUUUUCCAUACACAAAACUUUGCAAGUCAAUCACUGUUGUUCCCAUGGUACUGUAAGGAAAAAAAAAAGGAAAAAGAAAAAAAAAAAAAGAAAACCAGCCAAUCAUUGCGUGUACAGAGCUGAAAAUUGUAAUUAAUAGAGCCUGUUGGGAAAAAAAAGAAAACAGCUGUUGCCUUUUUUUCUUGUAUAAAAGAGAAUUUAUGACAAAAUUUAGCUGUGAGGAAUGUGAUAUGUGUUUAUAUUUCUGAAUAUGGAACAAAUUGAUUCAUGGGGAUAUAUUUUAAUGUAAACUAAAUCAGGUAUGUAAAGUUGUUUUAAAAUGGGAGACUAUAUAAGUAAUUCUCUAGAGCUUUAGUUGGUUUGAAUAUCAUCAUUUCCUCCAUGGUGAGCCUGCUUGUGAAUUAUUAAGCACUUGUUUGCAUUCUCUGUUCUUCACUCAUUUAUUUCUUGCAGUGUGCUAUGGACUUAAUGCUCUUUCUGUAUUGAUGAAAAGCAGUAUGUGGGCCAAUCUUUUUAUAAAACACUAUGCAUAUAUAAAUAUUACAUUGUUCAUAGCUUUAUUUGACUUAUGGGUUUAUACAUAACAUUAGAAUGAGUAGCUAUAGUUGUGUGGACAUUUAUAAAACAAGUUCCUUUCCUGGAACAGACACAAUAUACAUUCUGUAGCUAAAAAGGAGGGAAAAGUCUGUGAAUGCUAUUUUUAUUAUUAAAGUUUUCCAUACAAAGCAUACAUUGAGCUGUAGUAAGGCUGAGGAAGAGUACAACUGAACAAUGAUGUUCUUUUUCAUCAAGUUCCUAAGAGCCGACUUGGAGAUUUUAUUCCCAAGGCUCCACUGCUAGGAUUCUUCUCACUAGUUCUAACAAAAUCUGUGAUGUUAAAUGACUGAUGCUCUCAAUUGUGGUCCAGAGUUUUAAGUAAAUGAAAUCAAGGUGGAUUUUGGGAAUAUAUCCUGAAGUUAACAUCUUGAUGUCCUUCUUGUUGUAAGAUGAUUUUUGACAUUUUAAAAUCUAUGUGCUACCCACCUGGGCUUAUCUCAAUCUGUGGACUUCUUGGUGUGGUAGUUUCUCCUGAAUUCCACACAUCAGAUUUGUUUGGAAAUAUUGUACUGUACAGGGACUAUGCAUUAAGCAGAAAGAUAUAGUUUUCUUUGAACUACUGUAACCUUAAAUUGGAAACUGAUUCUUGUGAGCCUACUUUCCUUAAUCCCGCCCUCCCUCACUUAAUGUAAAUGUCUUGAUGAGAGAUGAUGGAUGAGUAUUUUGUAUGAUGAAAUCAAAUGAUUUAGGAAUUUGUCUCCCUCCAUUACACAGUUGAUGCCUGAAAGAAUGUUGGGCGGGGGGAGGACUCAACACCCUAAUUGUA
ensembl:lncRNA